AGUGGCGAACGGGUGAGUAACACGUGASAAUCUGCCCAUUGACUCUGGGAUAAGCGUUGGAAACGACGUCUAAUACCGGAUACGACCUUGGAAGGCAUCUUCUGGGGUGGAAAGAAUUUUGGUCAAGGAUGAGCUCGCGGCCUAUCAGCUAGUUGGUGAGGUAAUGGCUCACCAAGGCGACGACGGGUAGCCGGCCUGAGAGGGUGACCGGCCACACUGGGACUGAGACACGGCCCAGACUCCUACGGGAGGCAGCAGUGGGGAAUAUUGCACAAUGGGCGAAAGUGAUGCAGCAACSCGCGUGAGGGACGACGGCCUUCGGGUUGUAAACCUCUUUUAGUAGGGAAGAAGCGUUAAAGUGACGGUACCUGCAGAAAAAGCACCGGCUAACUACGUGCCAGCAGCCGCGGUAAUACGUAGGGUGCAAGCGUUGUCCGGAAUUAUUGGGCGUAAAGAGCUCGUAGGCGGUUUGUCGCGUCUGCUGUGAAAACCCGAGGCUCAACCUCGGCCUGCAGUGGGUACGGGCAGACUAGAGUGCGGUAGGGGAGAUUGGAAUUCCUGGUGUAGCGGUGGAAUGCGCAGAUAUCAGGAGGAACACCAAUGGCGAAGGCAGAUCUCUGGGCCGUAACUGACGCUGAGGAGCGAAAGCAUGGGGAGCGAACAGGAUUAGAUACCCUGGUAGUCCAUGCCGUAAACGUUGGGAACUAGAUGUGGGGACCAUUCCACGGUCUCCGUGUCGCAGCUAACGCAUUAAGUUCCCGCCUGGGGAGUACGGCCGCAAGCUAAAACUCAAAGGAAUUGACGGGGGCCCGCACAAGCGGCGGAGCAUGCGGAUUAAUUCGAUGCAACGCGAAGAACCUUACCAAGGCUUGACAUAUAGAGGAAACGUCUGGAAACAGUCGCCCCGCAAGGUCUCUAUACAGGUGGUGCAUGGUUGUCGUCAGCUCGUGUCGUGAGAUGUUGGGUUAAGUCCCGCAACGAGCGCAACCCUCGUCCUAUGUUGCCAGCACGUAAUGGUGGGAACUCAUGGGAUACUGCCGGGGUCAACUCGGAGGAAGGUGGGGAUGACGUCAAAUCAUCAUGCCCCUUAUGUCUUGGGUUCACGCAUGCUACAAUGGCCGGUACAAAGGGCUGCAAUACCGCAAGGUGGAGCGAAUCCCAAAAAGCCGGUCUCAGUUCGGAUUGAGGUCUGCAACUCGACCUCAUGAAGUCGGAGUCGCUAGUAAUCGCAGAUCAGCAACGCUGCGGUGAAUACGUUCCCGGGCCUUGUACACACCGCCCGUCAAGUCAUGAAAG
rnacentral:rRNA from 1 species